ACUCCUACGGGAGGCAGCAGUGGGGAAUAUUGCACAAUGGGCGCAAGCCUGAUGCAGCCAUGCCGCGUGUAUGAAGAAGGCCUUCGGGUUGUAAAGUACUUUCAGCGGGGAGGAAGGCAAUACGGUUAAUAACCGUGUUGAUUGACGUUACCCGCAGAAGAAGCACCGGCUAACUCCGUGCCAGCAGCCGCGGUAAUACGGAGGGUGCAAGCGUUAAUCGGAAUUACUGGGCGUAAAGCGCACGCAGGCGGUCUGUCAAGUCGGAUGUGAAAUCCCCGGGCUCAACCUGGGAACUGCAUUCGAAACUGGCAGGCUUGAGUCUUGUAGAGGGGGGUAGGAUUCCAGGUGUAGCGGUGAAAUGCGUAGAGAUCUGGAGGAAUACCGGUGGCGAAGGCGGCCCCCUGGACAAAGACUGACGCUCAGGUGCGAAAGCGUGGGGAGCAAACAGGAUUAGAAACCCUUGUAGUCCC
rnacentral:rRNA from 1 species